GCUGAGACCUUUUCAAAUUCCCAAAGCCAUCUUAUCUUCCCAAUUCCAUGACCAUCUUUAGCAGAACAUGGAAAAACUCAAACAACACUAUCCUCUUCAGCAAAACCUUACGUCGUUCCCCUCCCAUUAUCCCAAGUCCAGCAACCCAAAAACAUCUGAAUCUCCAAACCAAUAGCACAACCUUCCCCCAAGAAACCUACCCUUUCACCAAUCCCACUCAACCUCAUUCCCCAUCCCUGCUCCUCCACCACGAAGACACCAUCAUUCAACCGACGCCUAAAUACGAUCCCUAUCCCUUCCGACCCUCCAAAUUCUUCAAGAUCCCACUCAAGGGACUUAGCUUAACACCUUCGAUCAGAACUUUUAGGUGCUACAUUCACCAUUUCUCCUCCCAACUCCCCCGUGCCGACCAUGUCUCCACCACGGCCCUAACAAAAUCAGGCACAUUCCCCACCAACGCAUUACCUUCCAGAAUAACCUCUCGAAAUCCUAAAUCAACCCCCAAGCUCAUCGCUUGAAGACAAACGAGGGCAUCCGUUGCAAACCCCGUAGGCAACAUCAUAAUUUAUUUUAAGAAAAGGAGAAUCCGGGGGCCUCCACCUCUCAUACUCUAUCCUUCCGACAGGUAACUUAUUCUGCAUUGCGUCAUUUUCAUUCAUAUCAUUCUCAACCUUUUUUUAAUACAUCCUGUGGUAGAAGAAUCACCUUGUCAUGGAUCAGCCUAUUCCUCGCAGACCAAAUAAACCAGAGGGUACAAACCACAAUUCUGCAUGUAGUACUUGGGACCAUGGAAAAAAUAUAAGUAAAUCAUUCUUGUAAAGAUGCAUUAGCUAUAUUUUCAGGCCAUCUCAAAUCUAAAAUUCUCCAUAUUUCCUCUACAGAAGAACAAUAUCUAAAUAAAUGUUCAACAGUCUCUGCGCCACCUGUACAUUUUGGAGACAUAGUUGAAUUCCUCAGCCUCUUAUUGUACAAACUAUGAUAGCUAGGAAUGUAAUUUUUAAACAUGCACCAACUGUAAUCUUUAUUUUCUCUGGUAAAUUAAUCUACCAAAGUUUUUUGUAAAAUGCUCUGUAAUUAUAGUAAGUACCAAGCACCUCAGGUGAAAUAUCCUCGUGAAGGAGGAUCUUGUAAGCACUCUGCACUGCAAAUUCACCCGAUGGUUCAUCACCCCCAAACCACCAUAUCGUCCAGUAGAUUCCUAGCAAGAGGAAUAUAUCUCUCUUCGCAACCUCAUCAGUCAAAUGCGAGGCUAGGGACCCACAUAUCUUCCCAAAUCCUUAUAUUUGUGCCCGACCCCACACGCCAGCACAAACCUAAAUUGAGCAAUCCUCGCGCAGCCCAAAUGCUUUUGCAGGUAUAUGAAGGGUAAGCACCAAGAUUGGCAUUCAAAAAUUCAUUGACGGAUAUUAUUUUGCUUUGAGUGACCUCGUUAAAAGGGAAUUCGAAAUCUUAAUCAAACGCCAUCCAUGUUUUGCAA